AUUGAACGCUGGCGGCAUGCCUUACACAUGCAAGUCGAACGGCAGCACGGGAGCAAUCCUGGUGGCGAGUGGCGAACGGGUGAGUAAUAUAUCGGAACGUGCCCAGUCGUGGGGAUAACGUAGCGAAAGCUACGCUAAUACCGCAUACGAUCUAUGGAUGAAAGCGGGGGAUCGCAAGACCUCGCGCGAUUGGAGCGGCCGAUAUCAGAUUAGGUAGUUGGUGAGGUAAAGGCUCACCAAGCCGACGAUCUGUAGCUGGUCUGAGAGGACGACCAGCCACACUGGUACUGAGACACGGUCCAGACUCCUACGGGAGGCAGCAGUGGGGAAUUUUUGGACAAUGGACGCAAGUCUGAUCCAGCCAUUCCGUGUGCAGGAUGAAGGCCCUCGGGUUGUAAACUGCUUUUGUACGGAACGAAACGGUGAGCUCUAAUACAGUUUGCUAAUGACGGUACCGUAAGAAUAAGCACCGGCUAACUACGUG
rnacentral:rRNA from 1 species